ACGCUGGCGGCACGCCUUAUACAUGCAAGUCGAACGAAGUAGCAAUACUUAGUGGCAGACGGGUGAGUAACAUGUAGGUAUCUUCCCUUUGGUGAGGAAUAACACGAGGAAACUUGUGCUAAUACCUCAUAAGUCUUUACAGAGAAAGCUUUAUGCGCCGAAGGAUGAGCCUGCACUUGAUUAGUUUGUUGGUGGGGUAAUGGCUUACCAAGACUUUGAUCAAUAGCUGAUCUGAGAGGAUGAUCAGCCACAUUGGGACUGAGACACGGCCCAAACUCCUACGGGAGGCAGCAGUAGGGAAUAUUGCACAAUGGAGGAAACUCUGAUGCAGCGAUGCCGCGUGAGUGAAGAAGGCCUUUGGGUUGUAAAGCUCUUUCGUCGGGGAAGAAAAUGACUGUACCCGAAUAAGAAGGUCCGGCUAACUUCGUGCCAGCAGCCGCGGUAAUACGAAGGGACCUAGCGUAGUUCGGAAUUACUGGGCUUAAAGAGUUCGUAGGUGGUUAAAAAAGUUGGUGGUGAAAUCCCAGAGCUUAACUCUGGAACUGCCAUCAAAACUUUUUAGCUAGAGUAUGAUAGAGGAAAGCAGAAUUUCUAGUGUAGAGGUGAAAUUCGUAGAUAUUAGAAAGAAUACCAAUUGCGAAGGCAGCUUUCUGGAUCAUUACUGACACUGAGGAACGAAAGCAUGGGUAGCGAAGAGGAUUAGAUACCCUCGUAGUCCAUGCCGUAAACGAUGUGUGUUAGACGUUGGAAAUUUAUUUUCAGUGUCGCAGCGAAAGCAUUAAACACACCGCCUGGGGAGUACGACCGCA
rnacentral:rRNA from 1 species